rnacentral:tRNA from 1 species
UGCAUCAGCCAGGAAUCGAACCCGGGGCGCCCGCGUGGCAGGCGAGCAUUCUACCACUGAACCACCGAUGC